rnacentral:lncRNA from 1 species
UCUGUGCACUACGCUAUCGAUCUCCAUGAUAGGCUAGCCAAUAUCUCUCAUGUCCAUCAUCCAUUGGUGAACCUAGCCAAGAAAGUGGACAUACUAGCAUUCUGCAUAGGUAAACUAGAGAUCAAGUUUACUUGCUUGGAACAAGAGAUUAAGCUCAUCGUAGACACAUACAUAUCAAUCUAGUAUAAGCUUCAUAUGCGAAAGGACUAG